rnacentral:rRNA from 1 species
UACAGAGGUCUCAAGCGUUAAUCGGAAUUACUGGGCUUAAAGGGUCCGCAGGCGGUCUGACAAGUACCUUGUGAAAUAUCAGGUCUCAACCCUGAAACUGCUCGGUAGACUGUCAGACUUGAGUGCAAAAGGGGUCGCUGGAACUCUAGGUGGAGCGGUGAAAUGCGUAGAUAUCUGGAGGAACACCGGUGGCGAAGGCGGCAUCCUGGACCGGUAUUGACGCUGAGGCGCGAAAGCUAGGGGAGCAAACGGG